rnacentral:piRNA from 1 species
UGGGAACGAGGCAGGAUACAACCCAGUGA